rnacentral:misc_RNA from 1 species
UUAAAAUAUAAAAAAUAGCAUUAGAGCAUUAACUUCAAUAACAAUUUUAUCAAAUUAAAAGCUAAUAAAACAGUAUAAUGUGGCCAUAAUAUGUCAAAAUUUUAUUCAACUGAAGAUGAAGAGGGUGGGGUAAAGUUACAAUGAGGGACCAUAAUUAGGUGAUUCCCCAUUUCAAUUAGGAAAAAUAAAACUAAAAUUAAGGGAUUAGAGGGAGGAAGGAAGAGGAUGAAGGCGUAUGGAGCUGGGAACCAAAAGCUGAAACCAAGACUCCAUCAUGUCAUAUAUACAAAAGCUGAUAAUAGAGAAAGCACAAGGCAUUGGCUUUAUGUUGGUAUUAGAGCUAAUAUUUGGGUCUUGAUUCUUCCCAUGCACAUUUGUAUCUCUCUAUAUAUUGGCUGAUUUUGAGGGCAGUAUGGAUGCAAGCUAGUGACAGCAGAAUCAAUUAUCUGUGCCACAUCAGCUGGAGGAUAUUGUCGUUCGGUACAUGUCUGUAUCAUGAGCAAAGUAGCAACACAUGAUGUUAUAAGCUCUUCAGGGAUUGCUGCUUCAAUUUUGUCAGCAUUAUUUUGGGAUUUAGGCCCAGAUGCAUUACCAUUAACUUGGGCCUCCAAUGUGCUGGAAAUCAACUGAUCAUGAUCGUUUAAAAUGCCAUUGACAUGCUCUGGAGACCUGAUUACUUGUGCCUUCGGUUCUGAUGCUAAUUGUCCUUUAUCAAUAGAAUCUAAAGCCUCCCCAAUCUUCACGAAAGCAUCUUCCCCUUCUUUCAUUGAUGAAAUCGCCUGAAAUGACAUUAUAUCAGCAAGUGAUGUAUGUUGCUGCGGUUAACAAUGUAAUGCGGCUGCAAAUUAACAAUUUCUACAACAAUUAAAACAACCAGCAGAUACAGGACACUGAACUAGCAUUAAAAAACUUGAAAUGAAAUAUCCUACAAGCAAAACUGGAAGCAUUCUCUAUUGCCACGGAAAGAACUGUCACAGGCGCUCGUGCUAGUAAUCACCGAUCAGGUAUGGUAUGUUCUCAUUAGCCAAAUGGCAGUUCAUUGAUUGAAUUAAAUAUAUGUGAGAAAAACACGUUUAAGAUCCCAGCUAGUGCACUGACAUUUGGAAUGCCAUACACGUGUAUAGAAACUAAUUACCUGAACAGCAGCAUCUAUCAUUGUGUGUGCUAUGUGUCUGGAACCUCCGACGAUUUCAAUGACGGUACUAGAUCCAGAUUCUUGAGAAACAAAAAUAUCAUGAGAACUUGGCGGGCCAGCCAGGAAAUUGGAAUUGACAGGGGGCUUCAGCCAAGGAGGCAGGGUAUUCCCUGGGCAUGUAUUGUGUUGCCUCAAAUUGACUAAAGCAGAAGAGGCCUUUUUAUCAAGAGCAUGAUUCAACUCAGAAAGAGCUUGUACAUCAACUUCCUUCACUUCGAGUUGUGACACCACAGAAGGUUGACUAGCUAUUUGUUGUGCAUUAACAAUGUCAAUAGAUGCUGCCUUUGAUUGUUGGUGGUUUGCAUCCACCUGCUUUACCAAUGUAUUCAUGGGAAUCCGUAAGUUGUCUAAACGCCUUGGUGAAGUAAACCCUCCAAUAUGUGAAUGCCCAUUCACUUGCAGUUCCUUGGAUGCAACAGAGAAUCGACCUCUCCGAAGAGCUUCUGGCAUGUUAUCGAAUGGAUUUGAAGGCAUGCAGUCUAUAUCCUUGACAAAUUCCACUCCCAUCUCAGGACAGUCAAAUUGAACUCUGCACCUGUCAUGAUCAAUUGUGAGCACACUUCCAUCGUGAAGUUCUCUUGUUUUGGGAUGCACAGCAAUUACUCGCUGUCCAACUGAUAAAGGUCUUGCUAAAUCAGUUGGAAGUCCAUCCAUGAUACCAGUACGAAGUUCAGUAUAAUGUUUUCUCACAGAAUCCCUAUACUGCUUCAGUUUCUCCCUUUCUUCAUGUAAAAAAUGUUCAGAGAAUCUUCUAGGUUUGCCCAGGGAACUUCUUAUGACACCCCAUUCAACACGAGUUAAUCUUGGAAUGUGCCCAAGUCCAACAUGAUUUAAGUACUCCACAAACUCCCUUUUAGCAAACCAAGGGUAGUCAAUUGCACUGUAGAACCACUCAAAUGUACACCAUCUACGAACCAUCGGAGAUGAGAGACAAGAAGAAAACUUUCCCUUUAGAAAGGGUGCUGUAUCUUGCAAGGAGAUUGAAUAUCUAUUUGCUUGAUUUUUAAGGAUGUUCUCAGAAGAAUGCCCCUCUUUAUGGAUAAAUGAUUGCUUUAGACUCAUCUUGCGCCUGCUUAUUUUACUGGUUGGCAAGGUAACUUGACUUGCCACAGGAACUUGAGCAGUUGAUAUUGCCACAUCACUAGCAGAGCUUUUCUGAUCACCGCUGACAGAGCCCGCUGAUAAUCCAGUUGCUUUCAAUUGCUUUGAAACAGCAGAAACUAGACAAGUUCGUUUUCCUUUAAGCGCAGAAAUAAUCUCCUCCUCAUCCACAGGCUCAGCCUCCAAUGGUUUACUUAGAUGUAAGUUUAUGGGUGCUUCAGCAUUUGGUACCUUUGAUACCAAAGAAUGGCGUUUUCUUUUCAAUGCAUUAAUAUUGUUGUUGAUGGACUGAAGCCCUUGCUUUGGUUUAGAGACAGGCUUAGUUGCUGUGUUUCUUCCCAGCUUGGAUUUUCUUGAGGCACCCUCAACUUCACUUCUUGGAUGAAACACUUUUUCUCUGUACCCUAGGAGUUUAUCUCUAUGGUGGCUAGUAGAUAUAGCUUCAGGUUUGCUAAAUUUGUCAUCCACAGAAAGUACCAUUCUUUCUUCAUUCAACUGGACAGAUGAUUCAGAUUCCAUUACAGAAAGGUUAGCCAAAGUUUGCAGAGCAUCCAAAGCAGAGAAUUCAUCUCCAGAGAAAUGUUUGCCACUUAUCUUCUUUCGGGCCUGUGGAGACCUCUCAUCAGUUUUUGCAUUUGACUCGUCAAUAUCAGUUUUCCCCUUUAGAGCAUUUAUUUUUGGUCCUUCUUCAGUACCACUACAAGCUUCUCCACCGUCAUCAGAUUGACAAUUCCCUCUCUCUUCAACUUUUACUUUCUUUCUGUAAAACUUGUUUCCCUUUGGAUGAACUUCUACAGUACCUACACCUUCCAUAUCCACCAAGGAGCUUGCAUCCCUGGCAUAAGCACCACUAUCAGCUCCCCUGCUUAUACCAUCUCCCAUCAAUUCUUCAUCUACGAAAGCAUCUUGAAGUUUUGAAUGACUUGACUUUGACUGUGGAAACAUCAUAUCCCAGCUUCUAACUGGUGAUGAUUUAAUAUGUUCUGUCCUUCUACAUUGGGUGGGAGAAACUUGGGGAGAACCUCCUUUUUGUAAUGCCUCGGCUAAUGCCAGUGCAGCAACAUGUACUCCAUCAUCAUUAACAUCAUUCUCUGACUUCUGGCCCUUCUUCUGUGAAACAUAAUUUUCACUGUCAUUUUUCUUAUACGGAUAUGAAACAGCAAUUCGAGGUGUCCUUUUCCCAACUGCACGAGGCUGGCCACCAUAAAAUUGUCCUUUCUUCAAUAAUGAUAAGUAUCCAUCAGUUGAUGCAAUUGAGCGAGACUGCUGGAGAUCUUUUGAUGCACUAAGUUGGAUUUUUGCCUGCUUGCUUUUCUGAGGUUUCUGAGACAUUCCUGGCACAUCAUUGCUUUCUCCUUCACUGUCACUCACUUCAUGGGAGUAAUAAUGGUCAGUCAUCAUAGCUGUAAGGCCAACCACAGAAGCUGUUCCCUCAGGAAGGGAUAAGUAUGCCUUAUUCAUCUUAAAAAGGGUCUUCACCAUUUCCACAGAUCUGUUAGGGACUUCAGCAGCAAUCUUCUUCCAUUCCACCCCAUGGACCCGAUAUGCUUUGUAGAAUUGCUGAAGCUCCUCCUCACUCCAUCGGGGUCCUAACUUAUCAGACAAUCUCCUCUUCCCUAUCACCCUUUCUUUAUUUUUGUUUGGAUUCCUAACUUCUUUAUGAGGUGAGACUUCAUUCAAAAACCGCUUAUUCACACUUUUUUUUCUUGUUGGGGCCAUUGAGGACUUAUUCGAUUUAGAGCCUAGGCGACCAGGGUAAAAACCAUAGGGAGAAAGAAAGAUGAUUUACUUUUUAAGUUUGGGAGGCAGCGAGUUUUAGAGAGAGAGGCUUUAGAGAGAGAAAGAAGGGCGUUGCCGCGAAACUUGAAUAUAAAGGUCGCUUAGCCAAU